UGGGGAAUAUUGGACAAUGGGGGCAACCCUGAUCCAGCAAUGCCGCGUGUGUGAAGAAGGUCUUCGGAUUGUAAAGCACUUUCGACGGGGACGAUGAUGACGGUACCCGUAGAAGAAGCCCCGGCUAACUUCGUGCCAGCAGCCGCGGUAAUACGAAGGGGGCUAGCGUUGCUCGGAAUGACUGGGCGUAAAGGGCGUGUAGGCGGUUUGUACAGUCAGAUGUGAAAUCCCCGGGCUUAACCUGGGAGCUGCAUUUGAUACGUGCAGACUAGAGUGUGAGAGAGGGUUUGUGGAA
rnacentral:rRNA from 1 species